GAAAUUGAAUUCGUAGUGAAGAUGCUACGUCCAUAUUGUAAGACGAAAAGACCCCAUUGAGCUUUACUAAAGACUUGCAUGGCUAAAAAUAAUUUAAUUUAAAUAAAAAGUUUAGAUAAUGUGGGAUCCGUUUCCGGUUAAUAAAACACCACUCUUUUAUUUUAAGAGAGCUAACAUCGCAGGGAUAAUGUAAGUUGGAUAGUUUGGUUGGGGCGACCACCUUUUAAAAGGUAACGAAGGUGAGCUUAAGGUCCGUAGUUAAUAGCCG
rnacentral:rRNA from 1 species